UUAAACAAGAUAAGAGUUUUUGGUGGAUGCCUUGGGUCUGGAAGUCGAUGAAGGACGUGAUUACCUGCGAUAAGCCUCGGUUAGCUGGAAAUGAGCUGUGAUCCGGGGAUUUCCGAAUGGGGAAACCUAAUUGAGCUAAUCCUCAAUUAUCAUAUCGAUGAAUACAUAGUCGAAUGAAGAGACACGCUGUGAAUUGAAACAUCUCAGUAGCAGCAGGAAGAGAAAAUAAAGAAUGAUUCCCUCAGUAGUGGCGAGCGAACGGGGAAGAGCCCAAACCAACAUUCGUUGUUGGGGUUAUAGGACUACAUUUUAGAGUUACAAAAUUUACAUAUAGCAGAAUAAGUUGGAAUGCUUAAACAUAGAGGGUGAAAUUCCCGUAAGCGAAAUGUGUAGAUCUCUUUGUAGUAUCCUGAGUAGGGCGGGGCACGUGAAACCCUGUCUGAAUUUGCCGGGACCACCCGGUAAGGCUAAAUACUAACCAGACACCGAUAGUGAACUAGUACCGUGAGGGAAAGGUGAAAAGAACCCCGGGAGGGGAGUGAAAUAGAUUCUGAAACCAAUUACUUACAGUUAGUCAGAGCCCGUUAAUGGGUGAUGGCGUACAUCUUGCAGAAUGGACCGGCGAGUUAUGUCAACAUGCGAGGUUAAGUGGAUUAAAGCGAAGCCGUAGAGAAAUCGAGUCUUAAUAGGGCGCUUAGUAUGUUGAUAUAGACCCGAAACCAGGUGAUCUACCCAUGAGCAGGUUGAAACUUAGGUAACACUAAGUGGAGGACCGAACCGUAGUACGCUAAAAAGUGCCCGGAUGACUUGUGGGUAGGGGUGAAAUUCCAAUCGAACUUGGAGAUAGCUGGUUCUCUCCGAAAUAGCUUUAGGGCUAGCGUGUAGUGUUAAGUGAUGGGGGUAGAGCACUGAAUAUGGAAUGGCGGCGCCUAGCUGUACUGACUAUAAUCAAACUCCGAAUACUAUCAUGAAUUGCUAUGCAGUCGGUACAUCGGUGAUAACGUCGAUGCACGCGAGGGGAACAACCCAGAUCGUCAGCUAAGGUCCCAAAAUUGUGUUAAGUGAGAAAGGUUGUGGAGUUUCUUAAACAGCUAGGAUGUUGGCUUAGAAGCAGCCAUCGUUUAAAGAGUGCGUAAUAGCUCACUAGUCGAGAGACUCUGUGCCGAUAAUUCAACGGGACUAAAACACAAUACCGAAGCUACGGGCAUGAAAAUGCGUUAGGAGAGCGUUGUAAGGGCAUUGAAGCCAGACUGUGAAGACUGGUGGAGCGCUUACAAGUGAGAAUGCCGGUAUGAGUAACGAUUCAGAGUGAGAAUCUCUGACGCCUAUUGGGGAAGGUUUCCUGGGCAAGGUUCGUCCACCCAGGGUUAGUCGGGUCCUAAGACGAGGCCGAAAGGCGUAGCCGAUGGACAACAGGUUAAUAUUCCUGUACUUUCUAUAAAUGUGAUGGAGUGACGGGGGAGGAUAGCACUACCACUUAUUGGAUUGUGGGGUAAAUAGUGACUGGGUUAUGUAGGCAAAUCCGCAUAACUUAACCGGGAGCUAUGAUGCAUAGUGAAAGGGCAACUAAGUAGCGAAUUGGAUGAUUCCAUACCUCUUAAAAAAGCUUCUAACAUAUAGUUUAUGGAAACCCGUACCGAGAACGGACACACGUCCCCAAGAUGAGUAUUCUAAGGCGAGCGAGAAAACCAAUGUCAAGGAACUCUGCAAAUUCAUCCCGUAAGUUCGCAAGAAGGGAUGCCCACCCUAAAAAGUGGGCCGCAGUGAAUAGUAAGGGGGAACUGUUUAUCAAAAACACAGCUCUAUGCUAAGUCGUAAGACGAUGUAUAUGGGGUGACUCCUGCCCAGUGCCCGAAGGUUAAGCAAAGGUGUUAGCUUUAGCGAAGCAUUGAUGUGAAGCCCGGGUGAACGGCGGCCGUAACUAUAACGGUCCUAAGGUAGCGAAAUUCCUUGUCGGCUAAAUACUGACCUGCACGAAAGGAGUAAUUAUCUCUUAACUGUCUCGACAUUGGACUCGGUGAAAUUAUGGUUCCGGCGA
rnacentral:rRNA from 1 species